ensembl:misc_RNA Metazoa_SRP Metazoan signal recognition particle RNA
GCCAGGUUUGGUGGUGUGCACCUGUAGUCCCAGCUACUCAGGAGGCUGAGGUGGAGGAUCUCUUGAGCCCAGGAGGUCAGGGCUGCAGUGAGCCAUGAUUGUGCCACUGCACUCCAGCCUGGGCAAGAGAGCGAGACCCUAUCUCAA